AUAUAUAUACUCCUAUACUCCUCGCCCAGGAGGAGAGGGAAGAAACCUAGACACCAACAGAGACCUGCAGUGCCGCACCAAAAACAGGGCAGCCCCUUUGGGCUGCUCUCUUCUCCACCUUCCUCCUCCAUUUUUCCUCUUUUAUUUAUAUUUCUUUUAGCAAAUUACCAGUAACUACAGAUUUAUUCUUAUUAUUCCCAUGAGCAAAACACGAGGCUUCUUUUCCUUUGCGGUGAGAUGAGAUGGCCCAUACGGACAUCUAAAGUGCACGAAGACAAAUUCUAUCUUUUUUUAUUGACAAAAAUAUCCUUGGAUUUCUAAAAUAUAGAACAACAAAGAAAGACUGACGACAGUGUUUAGAGAGAGAGAGAGAGACAGAGCGAGAGAGAGGGAGGACUCAGAUCUAGAUUUAGAUCCGUAUCUAGAUCAAGAUCGAUCAAGGCCGACGGAUUUGAAUUUCAAUUUCUCACUCAAACAUGAAGUUUGAUCUGUAAAUUCAGCAAUUUGGGUUUCACACAAUGACUACCAAGAGAAAGAUUCGUAAUGUAAAGACAUAAACUAUAGGUAACACGAGAGCAAAAAACUCAAGGUCAGGAAGAGAGAUGAAGACCAAGAAUAUAGCAAAGGAGAAAAUACUAUUUUGUGCUGUACUGCAAAAUCAAUCUCAUAACUUGUUAUGAAAGUUGAAGGUGUUUUUGUGUGUAGGACGUUAAUCAAGUAUAACAUUGAAAAUGCUAUUACAAAAUAAUAAGGUUGCAAAUAUUACUGUUAGACAAUAGUAUUAUAUAAUGUUUUAGAUAGAUUUGGAUGGUGAGCAUGAUAUGAGUCAAAAAUUAAACAUUUUUUGCUUUUAUGUUGAA